UACGUAGGUGGCAAGCGUUAUCCGGAAUUAUUGGGCGUAAAGAGCGCGCAGGUGGUUGAUUAAGUCUGAUGUGAAAGCCCACGGCUUAACCGUGGAGGGUCAUUGGAAACUGGUCGACUUGAGUGCAGAAGAGGGAAGUGGAAUUCCAUGUGUAGCGGUGAAAUGCGUAGAGAUAUGGAGGAACACCAGUGGCGAAGGCGGCUUCCUGGUCUGUAACUGACACUGAGGCGCGAAAGCGUGGGGAGCAAACAGGAUUAGAUACCCCGUA
rnacentral:rRNA from 1 species